rnacentral:tRNA from 1 species
GCACCAGUGGCUCAGUGGUUAAGCACUUGGUUGCUAACCAAAAUGUCAGUGGUUCGAACCUCCCAGUGGCU